CAGUCGCCGCGGUAAUACAGAGGGUGCAAGCGUUAAUCGGAAUUACUGGGCGUAAAGCGUGCGUAGGUGGUGGUUUAAGUCCGUUGUGAAAGCCCUGGGCUCAACCUGGGAAUUGCAGUGGAUACUGGGUCACUAGAGUGUGGUAGAGGAUAGUGGAAUUUCCGGUGUAGCAGUGAAAUGCGUAGAGAUCGGAAGGAACAUCUGUGGCGAAGGCGACUAUCUGGGCCAACACUGACACUGAGGCACGAAAGCGUGGGGAGCAAACAGGAUUAGAUACCCCCGUAGUCCCUGUCUCUUAUAC
rnacentral:rRNA from 1 species